GCAAACUUGGUCAUUUAGAGGAAGUAAAAGUCGUAACAAGGUUUCCGUAGGUGAACCUGCGGAAGGAUCAUCAAAGAGAAAAUACGUAUACACUUUGUGUGCACCUAUCGAAGGACAAAAAUGAGAAAUCCUAACCCUUUUUCUCCAGAGGAAGAGGCGGAGGAUUCUUAUUUUUUUAAUUUACCAAGUUUUUAUUAUUGUAUUUGUAUGAUAAAUGAAAUAAAAAAACUUUCAACAACGGAUCUCUUGGUUCUCGCAUCGAUGAAGAACGCAGC
rnacentral:misc_RNA from 1 species